rnacentral:rRNA from 1 species
GAUGAACGCUAGCGGCAGGCCUAAUACAUGCAAGCUGAACGGUAAAUGUUGUAGCAAUACGAUAUGAGAGUAGCGUAAGGGUGCGUAACACGUAUGCAAUCUACCCGCAACAGGAGGAUAGCUCCCCGAAAGGGGAAUUAAUACUCCAUAAUAUCACGAGAGGGCAUCUGAUUGUGAUUAAACUCCAAGGGGUUGCGGAUGAGCAUGCGUCCGAUUAGUUAGUUGGUGAGGUAACGGCUCACCAAGACGAUGAUCAGGAGGGGAACUGAGCGGUCGACCCGCCACACUGGCCCUGAGAUACGGGCCGGAAUCCUCCGGGAGGCAGCAGUAGGGAAUAUUGGUCAAUGGGUGAGAGCCUGAACCAGCCAUGCCGCGUGCAGGAAGAAAGCCUUCUGGGUUGUAACCUGCUUUUGCCAGGGGAUAAAAUACCCAUGCGUGGGGAAUUGAAGGUACCUGGUGAAUAAGCCACGGCUAACUACGUGCCAGCCGCCGCCGUAAGAC